AUUGAACGCUGGCGGAAUGCUUUACACAUGCAAGUCGAACGGCAGCACGGACUUCGGUCUGGUGGCGAGUGGCGAACGGGUGAGUAAUGCAUCGGAACGUGCCCAAUCGUGGGGGAUAACGUAGCGAAAGUUACGCUAAUACCGCAUACGAUCUAAGGAUGAAAGCGGGGGAUCGCAAGACCUCGCGCGAAUGGAGCGGCCGAUGUUAGAUUAGGUAGUUGGUGGGGUAAAGGCUCACCAAGCCGACGAUCUAUAGCUGGUCUGAGAGGAUGAUGAGCCACACUGGGACUGAGACACCGCCCAGACUCCUACGGGGGGCAGCAGUGGGGAUGUUUGGACAAUGGGCGCAAGCCUGAUCCAGCCAUUCCGCGUGCAGGAUGAAGGCCCUCGGGUUGUAAACUGCUUUUGUACAGAACGAAAAGCUCUGGGUUAAUACCCUGGGGUCAUGACGGUACUGUAAGAAUAAGCACCGGCUAACUACGUGCCAGCCGCCGCCGUAA
rnacentral:rRNA from 1 species